rfam:Brachypodium distachyon strain Bd21 chromosome 2, whole genome shotgun sequence.
UAUGUACUCCCUCCGUCCCAUAUUAAGUGACUCAAAUUUGGCCAAAUAUGGAUGUAUCUAUGCCUAGAAAGCGUCUAGAUAUAUGUAACAGAAAGACAGUUAAUAUGGGACGGAGGGAGUAGUAC